rnacentral:rRNA from 1 species
UGGUGGAGCGAUUUGUCUGGUCAAUUCCGAUAACGAACGAGACUCUAGCCUACUAAAUAGUUCGGGGACCCCCACAAAGGGGCCCCGCUUCAACUUCUUAGAGGGACGGGUGGCGUUUAGCCACACGAGAUUGAGCAAUAACA